CUGUGAUUAAAAAAAAAGGAGAAGAAGAAAGAAAGGGAAAACUUCGUAGCCCAUUGGUAGCUAAGGAGACACAAUAGAAACUUUUGAGAUUAAGAACAAGGGAAUCAUUUCAUCCAGCAAGUUAGAAGAGGGAAAGAGGGACUCCUGGAAGAGAUGGUAUUGGUGUGAGCCUUGAAGAAUGGCUUCAUAUUAUAAAGAAGCCCAACACACAGAGGACCAAGGCUUCAGCGAGAUAAUUGAAAAAUGCCAGGACAGCGGAAGUUAAUUACCUUGGUGAGUAUUUCUAAGUGA
rnacentral:lncRNA from 1 species